rnacentral:rRNA from 1 species
UAGGGAAUCUUCCACAAUGGGCGAAAGCCUGAUGGAGCAACGCCGCGUGUGUGAUGAAGGCUUUCGGGUCGUAAAGCACUGUUGUAUGGGAAGAACAGCUAGAAUAGGAAAUGAUUUUAGUUUGACGGUACCAUACCAGAAAGGGACGGCUAAAUACGGGCCAG